UUUUCGUCUUUUCUCAGCGUUAAUUUUUCGAUCUAUGGAAGGUUUUAGAUGGUUUAGAAUAAAAAGGGAAAUAUACGUAAGUGCUAGUUUUUUUGCGAGUCCAAGUACCGGUUCCCGACGUUCCGGUUUUAACCGGACUUGAAUCGAAACUUUUUACAAGUCCAGUACCGGUUCGGCGUACCGGUACGCAGCACUAGCGGAAGAAGCGGGUACAUCUGGCGGAGAUCUUUCCAGACGUGCAGUUUCAUUUGCCAUCAAUGUCCGUGAAAAAUGCCACCUGUCCCAGAGAAGUGUCAACGAUAUUGUCCGGGGGUCCAACAGUAUCAAGCGGCUCUUCUGGAUACCUUGAGAGACAAAAUGAAGAGGGUCUUCGAGAGUCAUUCAGGGAGUACGACGCUGCUCCAAGAGGAAGCAUUGGCAACAUUUGAUCAUUUUCAGGAUCCUUUCACCCUAAUGGCCACCACAUACAUGCAGGAUAGCACCAUUCAGAAUCUUUUUAACCCAGUGAAACCAGAGGAAAUAGUUGUGUCUCAAAAGGUUUGUAGAGUUAAAAAGGGAGACUCAAGAGUUCUUGUAAUCACAAACUAAAGUUUUUACUAUAUACCCCUAAUUAAUAGUCUACAACAGCUGUUGUCCGACUCCAGAAUCUUUGAUAUGAUCAACACUGCAGCACAAAGCUGCAACAAA